UCGAGAAUCUUCCACAAUGGACGAAAGUCUGAUGGAGCGACGUCGCGUGAUGGACGAAGUGCUUCGGCACGUAAACAUCUUUUAUGCGGGAUGAAAUAAUUGACCGUACCGCAUGAAUAAGGGGCUCCUAACUCUGUGCCAGCAGGAGCGGUAAUACAGAGGCCCCAAGCGUUAUCCGGAAUCACUGGGCGUAAAGGGUGUCGAGGCGGUUGUGUUAGUCGUUCGUAAAAUCCGUGGGCUCAACCUACGG
rnacentral:rRNA from 1 species